rnacentral:lncRNA from 10 species
CCGGACCCCCUGGGGAGGACUCAGGACCAGAGAGAGAAGCAUCCCUGCUGAUGAGAAAGAACAGACACUCCCAGAGGACAAGGUCCACCUGUCAGGCAGCCACAGCCCAGCAUACUCUGGAGUCUGAGGUGGGGGUCAGUUGUGAAGAAAGGGAAGAAGGAAGAAAAAGGAUACGUUGUGCUCCGACCACAGGCCAAGGUCAGAAGACGGUAUUUACCAAGUCUCUUCCCAAAAUACUUGCAAAUGCACAUAAUCUCAAAGUGUUUUUGAGGGCUCUUCCGAUCUAAAAUUGGUCCUAGUGACAAGGGGUGUUUGGGGAAAUCAAAGGGCUGGCUUAACUAUGUAGACCUAGGUCUGGUCUUAUUUCUGGCCCAUACGAUCAUCAUGACCUUGGACAAAUGAAACUUCCUGGGCCUCAAGUUCCUUGUAUCAGAAAGGAUGGCAUUCAGCUGCGUACAACAGAAAACCAAAUCACAGUGGCUUAUCCAAGAAAAGUUCAAUUUUUCUCAAAACUACAGCGUCCUGGGCUGAUGCGGCAGCCCCAGGACGACCUCAGCAUCUCACUCCUCCUUUCUUUACUCGGCCCCAUCCUCAGGCUGUGACUUUCAUCCUCAGGUUUGUCAUCUUUUGGUGGUAAGAUGGUUGCUCUACCUCAAGCUCACAAAAAGAAAUGGGGGAAAGCAGGAAAGAAGAAAAUCUGCUUCCCCAGAGACUCUGAGGCUGCACUUGCACAUCUUAUGGAUCCAAACUGUGUCCCAUGGCUGCCCCUAGAUGCAAGGGGCCUGGGGAAAUGAGCGGAUUCAUCAGGUACACUGCAACCGUACAUGAAAGGAAAGUUCUGUCAAUAAAGAAGAGCGAAAUCUACAUUUGGUCAGGAAACAGCAUUGCCUGCAAUAUGCCUCAUAUGAAAUAAAGCCUUUCUUGCCCCCAUUCUGCUACUCGGUCAUUCUUGCACUCAACAAAUAGAUGUUGAGUGCCCACUCUCUCCAGGCCAUGUUCUAGGUGCUGCGGAUGCAAUCCUGAAUCUAUGAACACGAUUGGCAGAACAAUAAAUAUUGAUUGUCUUGGCCACUCACCAAAUAAAGUGCUCCUGGGAAGGCUGAGAUCUAAUGCAAAGCAGCAGCUUGACUUUCUCACUCCCUGGCAACAAUGCCAAGCAAGAGAAAGCGAUGGGUAAGGCCUGGCUCAAGAGUCUCACUGCAACCUGCACUGUAGAUUCUACCUGCUAAUUUCCUCAGCCUUCUCUGGUUUUGGGCUUCAGAAUGCCCUAACUCUGGGCCCGGCGCGGUGGCUCACGCCUGUAAACCCAUCACUUUGGGAGGCCAAGGCGGGUGGAUCACAAGAUCAAGACCAUCCUGGCCAACAUGGUGAAACCCUGUCUCUACUGAAAAUACAAAAAUUAGCUGGGCAUGGUGGCUUGUGCUUGUAAUCCAGCUACUUGGAAGGCUGAGGCUGGAGGAUCGCUUGAACCCAGAAGGCAGAGGUUGCAGUGAGCUGAGAUCACACCACUGCACUCCAGCCUGGCAACAGAGUGAGACUCUGUCUCAAAAAAAAAAAAAAAAAAAAAAAGAAUGCCCUAAGUCUACUCUGGACCAUGAGCAAGGAUAAUCUGUCUUAGAGGAGAGAAGGUGAGGUUAUGAUUCCAGAGCAUUUGGUGACCCAGGAAGUAGACCUGCCUCCUCCUAUCUGUCCACAGAGCAGUCCUAGGGGCAAUAGGCCAUGAGAAGAUCAUGCCAGGCAGUCCAUUUCUAUAUUACCAUGUAAACAAAAACUCAGCUGUGAACCCUGGAACGUUCGUAUUCUGCAGCUGCCAGUGUAAACUGGUACAGGCCUCUUGAAGAACAGUGGGGAAAGGCACUCUGAAAGCAUCCACGCCUCCAUACCUGCUGAUCCAGGGCUCUGAUUUUCCUUCUGGGAACCAAGCCUAGGAGAAUGAUUCAAGCUGCAGAAAACCUUUCUCCACUAAGAUGUUUGCUGUGGCAUUCAGUAUAAUAGCACACCAGAGAAACAAUCUAAAGAUUCAUCAGUAGGAGAAUAUCUAAGUAAAUUAUGGUACAUACACUCAAUAAAAUG